GGCAGUGGGUGGGGCUUGGAACUCCGCAGUGGGGAGGGGAGAUGGGCGGGGCUACGCGGAAGUUACUCAAAACGUUAAAGGGACCGCACAUCCUCAAAGCCAAAGUAUUGUGACUUCAAAAGAAACAUGCUCUGAAGCUGAAAGGGGAUGAGGAGCAAGAAAUACCAAGACUUUAUAUAACAUUCAAAGUGAUCCGAUGGAAGAUGUGGCGGGCUGGAAAUCAGGACCUUUUACCUCCUGCCCUGUCCAGCUUGGAUAAUACAGUUAAUAGACAAA